GCACAAGCGGUGGAGCAUGUGGUUAAUUCGAAGCAACGCGAAGAACCUUACCAGGUCUUGACAUCCCUGACAACCCGAGAGAUUGGGCGUUCCCCUUCGGGGGACAGGGUGACAGGUGGUGCAUGGUUGUCGUCAGCUCGUGUCGUGAGAUGUUGGGUUAAGUCCCGCAACGAGCGCAACCCUCGACCUUAGUUGCCAGCAUUCAGUUGGGCACUCUAAGGUGACUGCCGGCUAAAAGUCGGAGGAAGGUGGGGAUGACGUCAAAUCAUCAUGCCCCUUAUGACCUGGGCUACACACGUGCUACAAUGGGCGGUACAAAGGGUCGCGAACCCGCGAGGGGGAGCCAAUCCCAAAAAGCCGCUCUCAGUUCGGAUUGCAGGCUGCAACUCGCCUGCAUGAAGCCGGAAUCGCUAGUAAUCGCGGAUCAGCAUGCCGCGGUGAAUACGUUCCCGGGCCUU
rnacentral:rRNA from 1 species